rnacentral:rRNA from 1 species
AUUGAACGCUGGCGGCAUGCCUUACACAUGCAAGUCGAACGGUAACAGCACUUCGGUGGCUGACGAGUGGCGAACGGGUGAGUAAUACAUCGGAACGUGCCCGAGAGUGGGGGAUAACGCAGCGAAAGCUGUGCUAAUACCGCAUACGAUCUACGGAUGAAAGCAGGGGACCGCAAGGCCUUGCGCUCAUGGAGCGGCCGAUGGCAGAUUAGGUAGUUGGUGGGAUAAAAGCUUACCAAGCCGACGAUCUGUAGCUGGUCUGAGAGGACGACCAGCCACACUGGGACUGAGACACGGCCCAGACUCCUACGGGAGGCAGCAGUGGGGAAUUUUGGACAAUGGGCGAAAGCCUGAUCCAGCCAUGCCGCGUGCAGGAUGAAGGCCUUCGGGUUGUAAACUGCUUUUGUACGGAACGAAAAGGUCUUUUCUAAUAAAGAAGGCUCAUGACGGUACCGUAAGAAUAAGCACCGGCUAACUACGUGCCAGCAGCCGCGGUAAUACGUAGGGUGCAAGCGUUAAUCGGAAUUACUGGGCGUAAAGCGUGCGCAGGCGGUUAUAUAAGACAGAUGUGAAAUCCCCGGGCUCAACCUGGGAACUGCAUUAGUGACUGUAUAGCUAGAGUGCGGCAGAGGGGGAUGGAAUUCCGCGUGUAGCAGUGAAAUGCGUAGAUAUGCGGAGGAACACCGAUGGCGAAGGCAAUCCCCUGGGCCUGCACUGACGCUCAUGCACGAAAGCGUGGGGAGCAAACAGGAUUAGAUACCCUGGUAGUCCACGCCCUAAACGAUGUCAACUGGUUGUUGGGAAUUUACUUUCUCAGUAACGAAGCUAACGCGUGAAGUUGACCGCCUGGGGAGUACGGCCGCAAGGUUAAAACUCAAAGGAAUUGACGGGGACCCGCACAAGCGGUGGAUGAUGUGGUUUAAUUCGAUGCAACGCGAAAAACCUUACCCACCUUUGACAUGUAUGGAAGAUCGCAGAGACGCGAUUGUGCUCGAAAGAGAGCCAUAACACAGGUGCUGCAUGGCUGU